UACGGAGGAUCCAAGCGUUAUCCGGAAUUACUGGGCGUAAAGAGUUGCGUAGGUGGCAUGGCAAGUUGAUAGUGAAAGCGUGUGGCUCAACCACAUAUCCAUUAUCAAAACUGCCAAGCUAGAGGAUGAGAGAGGUACCUGGAAUUCCUAGUGUAGGAGUGAAAUCCGUAGAUAUUAGGAGGAACACCGAUGGCGUAGGCAGGGUACUGGCUUAUUCCUGACACUAAGGCACGAAAGCGUGGGUAGCAAACGGGAUUAGAAACCCAGUAGUCC
rnacentral:rRNA from 1 species